rnacentral:siRNA from 1 species
GACCUCGCAUCUCUGUAACCCUGU